rnacentral:rRNA from 1 species
GAUGAACGCUGGCGGCGUGCCUAAUACAUGCAAGUCGAGCGAACAGAUGAGGAGCUUGCUCCUCUGACGUUAGCGGCGGACGGGUGAGUAACACGUGGAUAACCUACCUAUAAGACUGGGAUAACUUCGGGAAACCGGAGCUAAUACCGGAUAAUAUAUUGAACCGCAUGGUUCAAUAGUGCAUGACGGUUUUGCUGUCACUUAUAGAUGGAUCCGCGCCGCAUUAGCUAGUUGGUAAGGUAACGGCCUACCAAGGCAACGAUGCGUAGCCGACCUGAGAGGGUGAUCAGCCACACUGGAACUGAGACACGGUCCAGACUCCUACGGGAGGCAGCAGUAGGGAAUAUUGCGCAAUGGGCGAAAGCCUGACGGAGCAACGCCGCGUGAGUGAUGAAGGUCUUCGGAUCGUAAAACUCUGUUAUUAGGGAAGAAAAAAUGUGUAAGUAACUAUGCCCGUCUUGACGGUACCUAAUCAGAAAGCCACGGCUAACUACGUG